AAGCAGCUAUCGAGAGCUGUCUUCAUAACCACAGGGGAAAGCCGAGGGUCUCUGGAUUCCACCGUGUUUUCUCUGCAUAAAUAAUCUCACAAGCUUUGAGAGGAAAGUAAAGCACAUGCCAGUGGGUCUUCAAAUCAAUGUGGUGGCGUGUUACAACUGCACCAAGUUAUUUACUACUGAAACUAUUUAAUAACCAAUACCGUAUCGAAGAGCUCCUAGCACACUCUGGUGGCAUGUGUGAAGCUUGUUUUGCUGAGUUGUGCAGAAGAGUUCUGCUCCACUGAUGACCUGGUACACGAACAUGCAGCAUCUUCUCGGCACCCUGAGUUAAUCCAUUUAUUUGUCUCUCUUCAUCGUCCCAGAAACAGUGUAUUUCUAUGGUCGGCCUUAAGAUGCUAGCAACUAGACUGCUAGAAAUAAAAUAGUAACGGCCUAACAAU
rnacentral:lncRNA from 1 species